AGAGUCAGGAACGAUCCGAGGUCAAGGGUACAAAGAGACAGCGAAAGCAAGAACUAACCAAGGUCUGGUACACAGUAAUCAGUAAGCCGGCAAAUAAGACAAAACAGGGAUAAAGAGAUAAACAGAGUCAGAUACAAAGCCAAGGUCAAGUAUGUACAACUGAACAAAACAAGUGCUAAAGCAGGGGUUCUCAACGUUAGUCCUCAGGACCCCCUACCAGUCCAGGGUUUAGGGAUUAC